rnacentral:rRNA from 1 species
AGGGCACCACCAGGAGUGGAGCCUGCGGCUUAAUUUGACUCAACACGGGAAAACUCACCCGGCCCGGACACCGUAAGGAUUGACAGAUUGAGAGCUCUUUCUUGAUUCGGUGGUUGGUGGUGCAUGGCCGUUCUUAGUUGGUGGAGCGAUUUGUCUGGUUUAUUCCGAUAACGAGCGAGACUCUAGCCUACUAAAUAGUUACUGGAUAAUUGCGUCCAGAAGACUUCUUAGAGGGACAAGCGGUGUUCAGCCGCACGAAGCUGAGCAAUAACAGGUCUGUGAUGCCCUUAGAUGUCCAGGGCUGCACGCGCGCUACACUGGAGGAAUCAGCGUGCUGUAACCAUUGCCGAAAGGCAUUGGUAACCCCUUGAAAAUCCUCCGUGAUCGGGAUCGGGAAUUGCAAUUAUUUCCCUUGAACGAGGAAUUCCUAGUAAGUGUGAGUCAUCAGCUCACGUUGAUUACGUCCCUGCCCUUUGUACACACCGCCCGUCGCUGCCCGGGACUGAGCCGUUUCGAGAA